rnacentral:ncRNA from 1 species
AUGAAAGCGAUGACUGGGACGAGUAAAUGAACGGACAGUGUCAGCGAGUUAGGGAUUGGUGCGAGCCUAAUGACUGAACUUUAUUGAAAAUCACCCAGGAGCGUCUCUCGAAAGACAACGGGACAGUUUAAGUUGUUAGUAAGGAGAACCGGGUCAUUCCGUUAACGAUGAUCGAGUGAUACGUAAAUUCGGGUUUGGCGAAGGCCAUAUCCGGAGGAGCGCAUUAUGAGGGUGGUACCGCGAGUAAACUUCUCGUCCCUUUU